UCAGGUUUAGCGCGGGAGGGGGGGAUGGCGACUUCACCCGGCCUCUAACAACACGUACGCAUCUUUCGGCGUCUUCUACAAUGGCUAUGUUAAUUACGUGGCCAGGAACUAAACUAUCAAUGAAGCCACCUCUGACUACUUCAGUUACAGUGAGUUUAACAGGAGCAAAAAAGCACGUGGCGCCCUAGGGCAACCGAAACGAGGGUUUUAGACGCUGAUUAUGGGAAAUUGAAAUCUGAGUUGAGUAUGAGAUGACACCAAUAAAUUAUAAUUUUGUUAGAUAAUAGCUUUAUCAGCCAUAAAGUAAUCAAUAAAAAUACCAAUUUCCUGGA
rnacentral:sRNA from 1 species